UAUCUCUGUAGAGUCUGCAUAUCAAUAAGCGGAGGAAAAGAAACUAACUAGGAUUCCCUCAGUAACGGCGAGUGAAGCGGGAAGAGCUCAAAUUUGAAAUCUUCAAGGUUUUACCUUGACGAAUUGUAGUUUAAAGAAGUGUUUUUCUGUUGGUGUUUUGGUAAAAGUUCUUUGGAAUAGGACAUCAUAGAGGGUGAGAAUCCCGUAUUUGACCAUUAUUUCCAACUUUGUGAUACACUUUCAAAGAGUCGGAUUGUUUGGGAAUGCAGUCCAAAAUGGGUGGUAAAUUUCAUCUAAAGCUAAAUAUUGGCGAGAGACCGAUAGCGAACAAGUACCGUGAGGGAAAGAUGAAAAGAACUUUGAAAAGAGAGUUAAACAGUACGUGAAAUUGUCAAAAGGGAAGCGUUUGACACCAGUGUUGUUUAGUUGAAAAUCAAUUCAAUAGUUUUUGAUUCUAAGUAGUAUUGACUUCAUCAGCUUGCUGCUUUCUUCUCAGAAAUUAUUGAAUGCACUUUUCAGUUAACAAGUCAACAUCAAUUUCUUUUGUUGUAAAAGGGUAUGAGGAAGGUGGCUUUCUUUUCGGAGAAAGUGUUUAUAGCCUUGUGCCUCUGCAAUCGGAGAGAUUGAGGUCUGCAGCGUAGAUCCUUCGGGGUUAGAUACGUUUGUGCUAAGUUAUAGCUUUUCAUAGACAACUUGUUGACUAUGUUUAGUCUUGUAGCUUACUCGCUUACGCUAUUUUACCUACGCUUAGGAUGUUGAACGCGCACAGAGUCU
rnacentral:rRNA from 1 species